rnacentral:misc_RNA from 1 species
GAUGAAGAACGCAGUGAAAUGCGAUAAGUAAUGCGAAUUGCAGAAUUCCGUGAGUCAUCGAAUCUUUGAACGCACAUUGCGCCCUUUGGCAUUCCGAAGGGCAUGCCUGUUCGAGCGUCAUUUAUCAACCCUCAAGCCCGGCUUGCGGUUGGGUCCCGCCGUGGGCGACCACGGCGGACCCGAAAGGUAAUGGCGGUGCCCGUGGGGCCCUGGACGCAGCGAGCUUCUCGGCACGCGUCCCGGCGGUCCCCGGCGCCGUCUCCACCAAUCCACCACGCAGAUUGACCUCGGAUCAGGUAGGGAUACCCGCUGAACUUAAGCAUAUCAAUAAGCGGAGGA